UACGGAGGUGGCAGGCGUUACUCGGAUUGAUUGGGUGUAAAGGGUGUGUAGGUGGUCGAUUAAGUCGAAUGUGAAAUCCCAUGGCUCAACCAUGGAACUGCAUUUGAUACUGAUCGGCUUGAGCGAUAGAGAGGUAAAUGGAAUUCCCGGUGUAACAGUGAAAUGUGUAGAUAUCGGGAGGAACACCAGUGGCGAAGGCGAUUUACUGGCUAUCUGCUGACACUGAAACACGAGAGCAUGGGGAGCAAACAGG
rnacentral:rRNA from 1 species